ensembl:lincRNA 3830432H09Rik RIKEN cDNA 3830432H09 gene
CUGAGUGAAAUUCCUCCCUUGGGCCCUCCUUGUUACUUAAUUUUUUUUGGGUCUGUGGACUGUAGCGUGGUUAUUCUGUACUUUGAGGCCAAUGUCCACUGAUAAGUGAGGACACACCAUGUGUGUGUUUCUGGCCCUGGGUUACCUCACUCAGGAUAUUUUCUUGCCGGCAAGUUUCAUGAUGCCAUGGAGUUUCUUAAUUAACCUUUUUUAUAUCAUAUAGCAUCUCCGGGUCACUGACAUGGGAGGGACUGAAGAACACUCUCAGAGUUGACACUGGUUCUCGCAUAAUGCAGUCCUGAAGAGCUGCUGCCAUUUCUAAAUGCCACUGCUCACAAGGGGAUCUGAACAUAGGCUCUUCCCAUCUCUCAUCGGAUCCCAGUGGGUUCCUUCCCAUGGCAACGGCUUUUGAAAACUACAGAACAUUUGUAAAAGAAGAAAAUCAUUCGUGAUCUACAAAUUUUGGUCCCUUUCAAACCACCUGUAGCACUCUGAGUUCAUGGACUGAUAGCUACCUGUGUAAACUGCCUUGGACACACGCUGCCUCCCCUGGCAGGCUCGACCAUGUGCUCGGGCCACUGGAAUUGAGUUGACUGACCGGACAUCUAUCACCUGGGAGCAGGAACGUUGGUGCUUGCAGACUUUGGCUUGGCCUCCUUACUUCUGCCAUAAAGGUCAAAGUCCAAGAUUGCCGCUCCUUCGAUCCAGCAUCUUGAAGAGGACGAAUCAAGAAGGCCUGGCAUAGCUCCCAGGCCUGAGCAUAUUCCUCAGCCAACUUGCAGCUCCAGGGAGGAAUCUGUAGUUAUGUCUGUUUAUAUUACUGUCUGUGUGAGUAUACGCGUGUAUGUGCACUACCGCAUUCUUGUGAAAAGCCAAGAACUUUCAGACAUAUACUCGCUCUUUCCUCCGUGAGACCCAAGGAUCCAACAGCUCACCAGCUUUGUGCAUUGCUUUUUCCUGCCAAGCCAUCUUACUGGGCUUUAAAAAAUGUAUUUGGACCUUAGGGGUUUUUUGUUUUAGAUAGUCUCCCAUUGGCAUAGACCUCAACAAUGUGGCUAUCUGGCUCACAAGCCCAGGGGAGCCUCACUUUGCGUUCUCUACACUGGGAAUAUAAGCUCAUACACUACAGCUGGCUUUUGUGGGGUUCUGAGGCUCACACAGCCACACAUUUACUGAGCCAGUUGCCCAGCCCAGCUACUAAGUUCUUGGAAGUUGUGAAGAAGCUGAGACAUCCCUUUGUAGAAGUUGUGACAAACAGACCUGCACGCUAGUGUGGAGUCACCGUGCUGUGUGGCCAUCAGUCAACAACCGACCACAGUCCUCCACUGACACUCACCUAAGACUGAAUGGAACUGAGACCUGACUGGGGACAGAGACUUAGGGAUGUCUGUAGCAUGUGUCUUGACAGUGGCUCGCCAACACUCCUCCCAUUGCUGGGAGAAUACAACUGAGCACUGCAGACCCUCCUGACCAACCCUUCCGUUGCUUCAGAAAUACCUGCUCUUCCAUCCCUAAAUGUUUUAAAAUUAUUUUGUGCAUAUAGGUAUUUUUUUAAUAUGGAAGGUUUCACGG